rnacentral:lncRNA from 1 species
AGAGAGGGGAGCUUCAUGCUUUGGGUCGGUGAAGGAAAGACAUAGAAUUUGGGUUUUUCUUCUUCGUAGAGUUUUGGGAAGACUGAGGCAAUCGUUGCUGAAGUCAGUAUUGUAAUGGUGAAUCGAGAUUUUUAAUGAAGUGGGUUUGAAUACUCUUGACUGUUUUGUGAAAUCGAGUCACGUCUGUGAUUGAAAGAUUAAAAGGAUGUCUAUAGGAUUGAGUAUGCGGAAUGAAUGAAAUUUAUUGGAUUAAUCUAACAAGACAGUCAGUGGAUACAAGAUCGUAAGUACAAAGCAGUAU